rnacentral:tRNA from 1 species
CAGGGAGACAGCAAAAUGUUUAAUAUUAUAAUUUUGUCACCUUAGGUCGAUCGGUAUCUCACGUUCUUAAUUUAUUAAGAAUUUCAUUUCCUAAGUUUUUCUAGGUCACACCCAUUAUUUUUCCUGGGCCAUUAGCUCAGGUGGUUAGAGCGCACCCCUGAUAAGGGUGAGGUCCCUGGUUCAAGUCCAGGAUGGCCCAUAUCUCUAUGUUGGGGGUAUAGCUCAGUUGGUAGAGCGCCUGCUUUGCAAGCAGGAUGUCAGCGGUUCGAGUCCGCUUACCUCCACUGAUUACCACCUCUUCCAUAAUCCGUAUUAGGGAAAUUUUUUGAGUUGUGAUCAAAUUCUGAACGAAUCUAGCUUCCUAAUGAAAUCAUUAAGAUGCUGGACUCAUUGAAUUAAUUUCAUUGUUUUCAGAGAACCUUGACAACUGCAUAGAUUAUUUUUUAUAGACAAUAAGCAUCUUUAAUGAUGCAGAUUUAUUAUUUGUGCUAAAGCAUUAAUAAACAAUUCUAUUAAGCUGAUGCUUCA